GACGAACGCUGGCGGCGUGCUUAACACAUGCAAGUCGAACGGAAAGGCCCUGCUUUUGUGGGGUGCUCGAGUGGCGCAGGGGUGAGAAACAUGUGAGUAAGCUGCCCUGGAGUUUGGGAUAACUUCAGGAAAGUGGGGAUAAUACCGGAUAGGAGCUGCUGCUGCAUGGGGGGGGUUGGAAAGCUUCGGCGGUUGGGGAUGGACUCGCGGCUUAUUAGCUUGUUGGUGGGGGAGUGGCUUACCAAGGCUUUGACGGGUAGCCGGCCUGAGAGGGUGACCGGCCACAAUGGGACUGAGAUAGGGCCCAGACUCCAACGGGAGGCAGCAGUGGGGAAUAUUGCACAAUGGGCGGAAGCCUGAUGCAGCAACGCCGCGUGCGGGAUGACGGCCUUCGGGUUGUAAACCGCUUUCGCCUGUGACGAAGCGUGAGUGACGGUAAUGGGUAAAGAAGCACCGGCUAACUACGUG
rnacentral:rRNA from 1 species